AAUCACUCUUCCUGGUCCAAUAUUUUAACGAUUGAAUGGGGGAACCAGGAACAUCAUCAGAGCAACCCUCAUCAGACAUGAAUGAACCCAAGUACAAGGGUGUACGGAGACGAAAAUGGGGGAAGUGGGUGUCGGAAAUCAGGCUGCCGAACAGCCGGGAGAGGAUAUGGUUAGGAUCCUUUGAUACAGCAGAAAAGGCGGCGCUUGCAUUCGAUGCUGCCUUGUAUUGCCUGCGCGGUCGGGAAGCAAAGUUCAACUUCCCCGAUAAUCCACCAGAUAUCGCCGGCGGUCAGUCACUUACUCCACAAGAAAUCCAAGUAGUUGCUGCGAGGUUUGCGAAUGAAAACUCAAGGAUGAUGAGGAGUAGCACUAAUACAAGCACAGGUGAGUCAUCGUCAUGGCAAAUGACGGAUCAGUACCAAUCGUCGUCGUCGGAUGGGGCAGUGCAGGUGGAAAGAGGAAAGUCGAUAGAUUGGUCGUCGAUUCUGAAUGAGUUGGACUCUAAUGAGUAUGGACUCUAUCCAGGGCUAGACAGCCAGUAUUAUCCACCACAACCAUCUGUUCUUGAUCAUGAUCAUAUUAAUGGGAAUGAUGGUGAUGAUCAAAAUGGGGAUGAGGCUUAUUCCCAGCAAUCAUUUCUUUGGGACUUUUGAUCGUUUUAUCAGGAGUUCGGCGAAUUUUAGCUGCCGGUGUCGCUGAUAUUUUUUUCUUCCACUUAAUUUACAGUAUACCAAUUAGUCUGGCGGGAAUUUGAAGCCUACUACUUGUGAGAGGGAAAUGGACAAUUUUUCUGUGCCAUCUCCGGCAAAUUAUUGAGUGCUGUAGAACCAAUUAAUGGCGUACAUUUCUAGUAGCUAGGAAACCCUUUUUUUGAGGUUGCGUGCAAGUGAAAUUUCGUGCUACACAAUUCUAUUCUAG
rnacentral:misc_RNA from 1 species